GUAGGUGAACCUGCGGAAGGAUCAUUAAUGAAUUUAAGGGGGUUGAUGCUGGCAUCUCUGUGCAUGUGCUCACUCUCAUAAUCCAUUCACACCUGUGCACCUAUAUUCGAAGGGGAUUUGAGUGCUUUCCUUGAAGACUUGUCUGACAGGUGACUCUCUGUUCCCUUUGAAGCUACAAACUCUGAUUCUAACUCUGAAUGUUUAUCUGCCGCAAGGCAAAAUUUAUACAACUUUUAACAACGGAUCUCUUGGCUCUC
rnacentral:misc_RNA from 1 species